AUACGGAGGGUGCAAGCGUUGUUCGGAAUCACUGGGCGUAAAGGGCGCGCAGGCGGUUUGGUAAGUCAGAUGUGAAAGCCCACGGCUCAACCGUGGAAGUGCAUUUGAAACUGCCAGACUUGAGUACCAGAGGGGAAAGUGGAAUUCCCGGUGCAGAGGUGAAAUUCGUAGAUAUCGGGAGGAAUACCGGUGGCGAAGGCGACUUUCUGGCUGGAUACUGACGCUGAGGCGCGAAAGCGUGGGGAGCAAACAGGAUUAGAUACCCUAGUAGUCC
rnacentral:rRNA from 1 species